UCUUUAAAUUAAUUAUUAUUUCAACCCUAUUUUAACCAAAGCCAAUCAAACCAUUUUUCUAUUUAGUAAUGUUGAAUGAAUAAAACAAUUAUACUCAAAGUACCGAGAGGGAACAAAUCAUAAUAAUAGUAGUAGAGAUAAAACCUCGUACCUCUUGCAUCAUGGGAAAACAAGAAUCUUUUUAAGAUCUAAAUCACCCGAACUUUAAGUGAGCUACUCUGUAGAAUAAACCUAAUGUUGCAAAAUUAUUGUUAACUACAUAAUAGAUGCUAAAUACUUACCGCACUAAAAGAUAGCUGGUUGCUCAGAAAAGAUAUAAAAGUAUCUCCUUUCCCUAGGAAAGGCACACUAACAGAAGGAUAAGCUUCUGUUAUAUCAAUGGCCCAAGACUACUAAUUUUUUAAAAGUAGGAAUAAAAUUUUCCAUCAUUAAUUUUGUUAUAAAAUAUAGAAUACUACCUAGAAAAUAAAUUUAGUUAACCUUGAUCCUCACUGAGCCAUAUAGACCAACCAAAUUGCCCAACUAUACAACUGAUGUUUUCACGAGUAUUUUUACACUUAACAAUCUUCCUCUAAAAAUAGAAGUUUACACAAAUUCAACUACUUAAAUAUAUAUAAGGAACUCGGCAAGCUUACUACUCCGCCUGUUUAUCAAAAACAUGUCUCUUAGAAAAUAUUAAGAGUCAGGCCUGCCCAGUGAUCACUUUAACGGCCGCGGUACCCUGACCGUGCAAAGGUAGCAUAAUCAUUUGCCUUUUAAUUGGAGGCUAGUAUGAAUGGUCUAACGAGAGUAAAACUGUCUCAUAUAUAUUCAAUAAAAACUAACCUAAAGGUGCAAAGGCCUUUAUCCACUAAAAAGACGAGAAGACCCUGUUGAGCUUUAAUCUUAAUGAGCAUCCUCCCUAUAUUUAUAGAUUUAUUUUGCUCGAUAAAGAUUUUAAUUGGGGCGAUUAAGGAACAAUUAUCAGCUUCCUGAAUUAACCUAAAAAUAUUUAUAAAUUAAAUCGAUCCAGCAUUGCUGAUCAACAAAAUGAGUUACCACAGGGAUAACAGCAUAAUUCUUCUUGAGAGCCCACAUCGAAAGAAGAGAUUGUGACCUCGAUGUUGGACUAGGGUAACUGGAAGGUGUAGCCGCUUUCCUGUUUGGUCUGUUCGACCAGUAAUUCCCUACAUGAUCUGAGUUCAGACCGGCGUAAGCCAGGUCAGUUUCUAUCUUUUAACCAAUAUACAUUUAGGCUAGUACGAAAGGACCGCUUAAAGUAAACAUUUUACCACCAAGGUGAACAUAAUCUAACUUAACUUC
rnacentral:rRNA from 1 species